UACAGAGGGUGCGAGCGUUGUCCGGAAUUACUGGGCGUAAAGGGCGCGUAGGCGGCCCGAUAAGUCGGGGGUGAAAGUCAGCGGCUCAACCGCUGGACUGCCUUCGAGACUGUUAGGCUUGAGCAUGGUAGAGGCUGGCGGAAUUCCCGGUGUAGCAGUGAAAUGCGUAGAUAUGCGGAGGAACACCGAUGGCGAAGGCAAUCCCCUGGACCUGUACUGACGCUCAUGCACGAAAGCGUGGGGAGCAAACAGG
rnacentral:rRNA from 1 species